UACUAUCGGUGUACGUGUCAACUGUCUACCAGCUACCUCACACAAUGCGCUGCCGCCUUCUAAAAGCGCCAUCGCCAUCAUGAAUAGUUCACGCAAAGAAACGAGACCGCAAAGAAAACCAUCAAUUGGGGCAGUCCAACUGGAGAGGUAAGGCAAAGUACAAGCUCCAAGAAAAUGAUGUUCAGUGUGAACAUCUUGCAAGCAGAAGCAACGAGCCAGCACAACCAUCAUCCUCUGGCUUACGCACCAUCCACACAAAUGGCUGCAAGGUCUGGCAACCACGCAAGUGAAACUGGUUCGUCAUUGGGUUCAGCCACAUCAAUACUGGAGGCCUUUUCAAGUCGCUCGCUCGAAGGUUCUUUCCAAACUUGGCAAGAAUAACACCAGUGAAUGCAGCUAGCUCUACUGUCUCCGUGAAGAAAUAAAUAUCUGAACUUUAUAUUUGUUAA